AGUGAACGCUGGCGGUAGGCCUAACACAUGCAAGUCGAACGGCAGCACAGUAAGAGCUUGCUCUUACGGGUGGCGAGUGGCGGACGGGUGAGGAAUACAUAGGAAUCUACUUUUUCGUGGGGGAUAACGUAGGGAAACUUCCGCUAAUACCGCAUACGACCUACGGGUGAAAGCAGUGGAUCUUCGCACCUUGCGCGAUUGAAUGAGCCGAUGUCGGAUUAGCUAGUUGGCGGGGUAAAGGCCCACCAAGGCGACGAUCCGUAGCUGGUCUGAGAGGAUGAUCAGCCACACUGGAACUGAGACACGGUCCAGACUCCUACGGGAGGCAGCAGUGGGGAAUAUUGGACAAUGGGCGCAAGCCUGAUCCAGCCAUACCGCGUGGGUGAAGAAGGCCUUCGGGUUGUAAAGCCCUUUUGUUGGGAAAGAAAAGCAGCAGAUGAAUACCCCGCUGUUCUGACGGUACCCAAAGAAUAAGCACCGGCUAACUUCGUG
rnacentral:rRNA from 1 species